rnacentral:sRNA from 1 species
AAAUAAAAAGUAAAUUAAUAAAUACUACGUCUUUUUCUUAUCCACUCGUCUCUGUGUAUUUAUAUGUU